UGUGGGUGACAGCUCGCGCACAUGGCGAAACCGCGGACGGCUCAUUAAAUCAGUUGUGGUCCGAAUGGGCUAGUGAUAUAUUACUUGGAUAACUGUGGUAAUUCCAKAGCUAAUACWUGCAACUUAUAKUCCUGGUGGCGUGGGCUUCACGGCUCGCGUCGCGACGACGGCUUUUAUUAGACCAAACCGCUGAGGGAUUGAGAAGGGGUUCUCUGCUCUUUCUGUUCCGAAGACUCGUGUAAUGGUGACUCUGGAUAACCAUCUAUGACAAGCGCACGUAUCCAUUAACUUGGGACGGCGCUUCCACUUACGAGUGUCUGCCUUAUCAGCUAUGUAUCGUUCGUUAUGUGCUAACGAUGGCUUUGACGGGUAACGGGGAAUCAGUGUUCGAUUCCGGAGAGGCAGCCUGAGAAACGGCUACCACGUCCAAGGACGGCAGCAGGCACGCAAAUUACCCAAUUCCAGCUACUUGGGGAGGUAGUGACGGAAUCUAACGAUGCGGGCGCUCCUUCUGGGGCCCCGCAAUCGGAAUGAGCAUUUUCUUUCUAAACACCCUGUUGAGAACCCACUGAAGGGCAAGUCUGGUGCCAGCAGCCGCGGUAAUUCCAGCUUCAGCAGCAUCUAUUAAAGUUGCUGCGGUUAAAAGGCUCGCAGUUGAAUGUCAGUACAAAGCGUAGCGAUGGUGGACGUUGGGGUGUGGGAGAGUUCCCUCGUUGUGCGGCGGUGUGCAUGUUUGAAGGCUUCGGUCUUGCCAUUACUGAGUCGCUUUCGAGUGUGUUCUCUCUCCAUCUAUAGCCCCCGUCCGUAAACAGCCUCCUCGCUUUCGUACAAAAUGGAAUCUAAUGGUUUUUUCAGAGUCAUACGUGUCCUGGGUACUCUGGUAGCUCGCGGGAGCUGCGCAUGUAGCGAACGCUUGUGAUCCAGUGUGCUCGGGUCCUUGUCUCAUGGAGCUUGGUUUCAAAGUUACCUUGAGUAAAUUGGAGUGCUCAAAGCAGUCGUGAGGAACGUGCGGCUCGCGCUGUACGUUCUGCAAAGAAUGUCUUAUGACAGACAGUCUUGGUUUUGCAUGGUAUGUCGAAAGACGCCGUAUCCUGUUGGUAACGAGUCUAGUGCGGGCUCGCACUUGAGGAGUGCAGGGAGGAGGGAGAGUUCGCUCUCUCUUUACUAUCUCUGUGUCUCUGAUAGCGUGACACACGGGACCAACAGGUGCGGAAUGAUUAAAAGGGCCGGUCGAAGGCAACGGUAUUGCGAGGCGAGAGGUGAAAUUCUAUGACCCCCGCAAGACCUCCUGAAGCGAAAGCGUCUGCCAAGGACGUUACCAGGAGUGGAGCCUGCGGCUUAAUUUGACUCAACACGGGCCAUCUCACCAGGCCAGCACUCUUGUAUGAUUGACAGAUUGAUGGUUCUUUCUCGAUUAAGUGGAUGGUGGUGCAUGGCCGUUCUUAGUUGGUGGAGUGAUCUGUCUGGUUAAUUCCGAUAACGAACGAGACUCUCCCCUGCUAACUAGUCGGUUGGAUCUUGUGUCUGGAGAGUUGUGUCUUCACUCGCUCGUGCCUUUACGUUUAUGUGAGCCUUGGCUCGCGCUGCAGCUUGCGUGUGCUUGCGUAGUUUAACAGCUGCGUUCGCGCGCUCCUGUCUCCGGUGUGACGCUUUUGGCGAGCUUGCGUUUGGUGUCGUUGUUUGUGGAACACACUCCAAGUCCGCCGCUUAUUCAAGGUAUGCGAUGCUUUACGGUAAAGUUAUAUGUGAGUAAAACUCUUCUUAGAGGGAUUCANGGUUCUGAAACCGUAAGAAACUGAGAGCAAUAACAGGUCUGUGAUGCCCUUAGAUGUUCUGGGCCGCACGCGCGCUACAAUGCCGGGUUCAACAGGUAUUUAUCCUUCUCCGAGAGGAGUGGGUAAUCCUUUGAAAGCCCAUCAAACAAUAUUCAAAGGGAUGCGCUUAUUCAGCGUACUCUCUUCCAUAGCUUGCUUGGGCCUGGGGCUUGCAAUUCUUUCCCACAAACGAGGAAUGCCUAGUAGCGGCGGAUCACUGAGUUUGUCGUGACUCAGUCCCUGCCCUUUGUACCACACCGCCCGUCGCUACUACCGAUUGGGUGUACCAGUGAGAUCUUUGGACUGGCGAGCCUCGUGUUCUUAAUUGAGCGCGAGUGUGUAMGACGGGAAGAGRCUCGAACUGGUGCACUUA
rnacentral:rRNA from 1 species